AGAGUUUGAUCCUGGCUCAGAACGAACGCUGGCGGCAGGCCUAACACAUGCAAGUCGAGCGCCCGCAAGGGAGCGGCAGACGGGUGAGUAACGCGUGGGAACGUGCCCUUUGGUUCGGAAUAUUCCCGGGAAACUGGGAGCAAAACCGGAUAAGCCCUUCGGGGGAAAGUUUACGCCAAAGGAUCGGCCCGCGUUAGAUUAGGUAGUUGGUGGGGUAACGGCCUACCAAGCCUACGAUCUAUAGCUGAUCUGAGAGGAUGAUCAGCCACACUGGGGCUGAGACACGGCCCAGACUCCUACGGGAGGCAGCAGUGGGGAAUCUUGGACAAUGGGCGCAAGCCUGAUCCAGCCAUGCCGCGUGGAUGACUGAAGGCCCUAGGGUUGUAAAGUCCUUUCGACGGGGACGAUAAUGACGGUACCCGUAGAAGAAGCCCCGGCUAACUUCGUGCCAGCAGCCGCGGUAAUACGAAGGGGGCUAGCGUUGUUCGGAUUUACUGGGCGUAAAGGGCGCGUAGGCGGAUUUUUAAGUCGGGGGUGAAAUCCCGGAGCUCAACUCCGGAACUGCCUUCGAUACUGGAAGUCUGGAGCACGGUAGAGGUGAGUGGAAUUCCGAGUGUAGAGGUGAAAUUCGUAGAUAUUCGGAGGAACACCAGUGGCGAAGGCGGCUCACUGGACCGUUGCUGACGCUGAGGCGCGAAAGCGUGGGGAGCAAACAGGAUUAGAUACCCUGGUAGUCC
rnacentral:rRNA from 1 species